GGCAGUGCUCGCGGCGGCCCCAGACCCUGAAGCGCCCGGGGCUUCGGGUGGCUUCGGCCGGGGGGCUCGGGCUUGGGCUCGGCGCGGCGUGGCGCGGCGGCCUGGCUGGUGGCGGGUUCUGAGCAGUCGAAGCCCGCCGGCCAGGCGUCACACACACUGAGGUCGAAGCUGGCCGGCUGACAGACUCGGCGAUCCUCAGGCCCCCGGAGCCCCUGCGCGGAGCGGGCGGGACGCAAACUUCCGGGGGGCCCUCUGCCCGCAGGUCCCUGAGCGAGCGGUGCCGCCCACCAUGGACCCAGACCCUCAGGCGGGCGUACAGGUGGGCAUGCGUGUGGUGCGCGGCGUGGACUGGAAGUGGGGCCAGCAGGACGGCGGCGAGGGCGGCGUGGGCACGGUGGUGGAGCUCGGCCGCCACGGCAGCCCCUCCACCCCCGACCGCACGGUGGUCGUGCAGUGGGACCACGGCACCCGCACCAACUACCGCGCCGGCUACCAGGGCGCGCACGACCUGCUGCUCUACGACAACGCCCAGAUCGGCGUCCGCCACCCCAACAUCAUCUGCGACUGCUGCAGGAAGCACGGGCUGCGGGGCAUGCGCUGGAAGUGCCGCGUCUGCUUCGACUACGACCUGUGCACGCAGUGCUACAUGCACAACAAACACGACCUGGCGCACGCCUUCGAGCGCUAUGAGACGGCCCACUCGCGCCCGGUCACGCUGAGUCCACGCCAGGGCCUCCCGAGGAUCCCGUUAAGGGGCAUCUUCCAGGGGGCGAAGGUGGUUCGGGGCCCCGACUGGGAGUGGGGGUCGCAGGACGGAGGGGAAGGGAAGCCUGGCCGAGUGGUGGACAUCCGUGGCUGGGACGUGGAGACGGGCCGGAGCGUGGCCAGCGUGACGUGGGCCGACGGCACCACCAACGUGUACCGUGUGGGCCACAAGGGCAAGGUGGACCUCAAGUGUGUGGGCGAGGCGGCUGGCGGCUUCUACUACAGGGAGCAUCUCCCGAGGCUUGGCAAGCCAGCGGAGUUGCAGCGCAGGGUGAGUGCGGACGGCCAGCCCUUCCAGCCUGGGGACAAGGUUAAGUGCCUGCUGGACACGGACAUCUUGAGGGAGAUGCAGGAAGGUCACGGUGGAUGGAACCCCAGGAUGGCAGAGUUUAUCGGACAGCCGGGCACCGUGCACCGCAUCACAGACCGUGGGGACGUGCGUGUGCAGUUCAGCCACAAGAUCCGCUGGACCUUCCACCCGGGGGCUCUCACCAAGCACAACUCCUUCUGGGUGGGGGACGUGGUGCGGGUCAUCGACGACCUUGACACGGUGAAGCGGCUGCAGGCUGGGCACGGCGAGUGGACCGAUGACAUGGCCCCGGCUCUGGGCCGCGUUGGGAAAGUGGUGAAGGUUUUUGGAGACGGGAACCUGCGUGUGGCGGUCAGUGGGCAGCUGUGGACCUUCAGCCCCUCCUGCCUGGUGGCCUACCGACCCGAGGAAGAUGCCAACCUGGAUGUGGCUGAGCGCGCCAGAGAGAACAAAAGCUCCCUGAGCAUCAUCCUGGACAAGCUUCGAGCCCAGAAGAGUGACCUGGAGCACCCAGGGAGGCUGGUGGUGGAGGUGGCCCUAGGCAACAUGGCCCGGGCCCUGGACCUGCUGCGGCGGCACCCGGAGCAGGUGGACACCAAGAACCAGGGCAGGACCGCCCUGCAGGUGGCUGCCUACCUCGGCCAGGUGGAGCUGGUGCGGCUGUUGCUGCAGGCGCGGGCAGGCGUGGACCUGGCGGAUGACGAGGGCAACACGGCACUACACUACGCAGCCCUGGGGAACCAGCCCGAGGCCGCCCGGGUGCUUCUGAGCUCGGGUUGCGCCGCCAACGCCCUUAACAGCGCUCGGAGUUCCGCGCUGCAUGUGGCCGUGCAGAGGGGGUUCCUGGAGGUGGUUCGGGUUCUCUGUGAGCGCGGCUGUGACGUCAACCUCCCCGAUGCUCACGCUGACACACCCCUGCACUGCGCCAUCUCGGCGGGCACUGGUGCCACUGGCAUUGUGGAGGUCCUCACUGAGGUUCCCGGCAUUGACGUUACUGCCACCAACAGCCAAGGCUUCACCCUGCUGCACCACGCGUCCCUGAAGGGCCACACACUGGCCGUCAGGAGGAUUCUGGCCCGGGCCCGGCAGCUGGUGGAUGCCCAGAAGGAGGACGGAUUCACGGCCUUGCACCUGGCCGCUCUCAACAACCACUGGGAAGUGGCCCAGGUUCUCAUCCGAGAGGGCCGCUGUGAUGUGAACGUCCGCAACCGUAAGCUCCAGUCCCCGCUGCACCUGGCCGUGCAGCAGGCCCACGUGGGGCUGGUGCCGCUGCUGGUGGACUCUGGCUGUAGCGUCAACGCCGAGGAUGAGGAGGGGGACACGGCCCUGCAUGUGGCACUGCAGCGUCACCAACUGCUUCCCAUGGCAGCUGAUGGGGCCGGGGGGGACCCGAGGCCCUUGCAGCUGCUGUCGCGGGUGAGGAAGUGUGACUCUGGGUGCCAGAGAGGUGGGCACCUGGCCGAAGUCUCCAGGACUGGCCUGACCUCUGCCCACCUCCACCUUUGGGGCUGGCAGGCCUUCUCAGGAUGGGGUGGCUCUGGCCACGGUGGUCUGCAGGAGGCAUCUUCUAUGACCCCAGCCACCACCCUGUGGCCAGUGUGCCUGGAAGAGAGGGCGGGGCCAGAUGGGUACAGAGUGUGGUGUGUGUGGGGCUGGUGUCAGAACUCGGUCCCUCCCCCACCCCACCUCAGGCAGGGAGCACGUGCCCAGGUCUUGGCAGCUCGGAUUCCCCCCCACACCCCCGCUCACCAGUGUCUGUCCUGCCACCCAGCUACAGGCCUCGGGCCUUCCGGGCAGCGCAGAGCUGACGGCAGGCGCAGCGGUGGCCUGCUUCUUGGCGCUGGAGGGCGCCGACCUGAGCUACUCCAACCACCGGGGCCGGAGCCCGCUGGACCUGGCCACCGAGGGCCGCUUGCUCAAAGCCCUGCAGGGCUGUGCCCAGCGCUUCCGGUGAGCCCAGCGGGGCAGGGUGGGGGUCGACCCAAUGCCCCGGGCCCCUUCAAGCCUUCUCCUCCCACCGCAGGGAGCGCCAGGCUGGCGGCGGCACGGCCCAGGGCCCAAGGCUGGUGCUCAGCGCCCCCAACGCGGUGACCAACGUGCACGUGGCCGCGCCGUCGGGGCCCGAGGCCGCGGAGUGCCUGGUGUGCUCUGAGCUGGCGCUGCUGGUGCUGUUCUCGCCGUGCCAGCACCGCACCGUGUGCGAGGAGUGUGCGCGCAGGAUGAAGAAGUGCAUCAGAUGCCAGGUGGUCAUCGGCAAGAAGCUGCGUCCAG